UUUAAAAUUUUAAUGUCCGAUACAUCCAACAAAAGUCCAACGAAAAUUUAAUUUAAUACAUCCUUCGUUCUAAAGAAAAUCGGGUACUUCAACGUGGACAACCACGAGCUUGAACCGAGUUCUUACCUACACCAAAUUAAAUGAACAAGUGAACAAAUACUCAAAUAAUUAAUUUAAUAAACAAAUAAAAUAAAAUAAAAUAAAAUAAAAGAGCAGAUUUUUUUUCAGACAACAUUAAAUGCUGCAUUUAAUUAGAGAUAGGAAUGUAGGCAACUUGCUACACGUUUCUUUCACCGCCCUCUUUUAUGUAUAUGCAUAUAGAUAUACAAUCAUUUUCAUCCACCCACUUCACAUAAACAAAGCUCCCAUAAUACUCUCCCAACGACAAUACUCUCCCAACGAAAGCAGGAGGAAGCAAUCCACCAAGACCUUUGUCAUAGUAUCAUAAAAGAGACAAAUUCAGCAAUUCCUUUUCACAAUCAUACAAAGGUUAUCUCCGCGAGCUAAGGUCGGAGUCAGGAAAAAUCAAGUUAAGGAGUUUUAAACGAACAAGGUUGAGCAGCGAAGUGGUGGAGGAAGUGCUAUUGAGACAAGACAUUUAAUUCAGUCAG